rnacentral:rRNA from 1 species
AUUGAACGCUGGCGGCAUGCCUUACACAUGCAAGUCGAACGGCAGCACGGGAGCUUGCUCCUGGUGGCGAGUGGCGAACGGGUGAGUAAUACAUGGGAACGUACCCUGAAGUGGGGGAUAACGUAGCGAAAGUUACGCUAAUACCGCAUAUUCUGUGAGCAGGAAAGAGGGGGAUCGCAAGACCUCUUGCUUUAGGAGCGGCCGAUGUCGGAUUAGCUAGUUGGUGAGGUAAAGGCUCACCAAGGCGACGAUCCGUAGCGGGUCUGAGAGGAUGAUCCGCCACACUGGGACUGAGACACGGCCCAGACUCCUACGGGAGGCAGCAGUGGGGAAUUUUGGACAAUGGGCGCAAGCCUGAUCCAGCCA